rnacentral:rRNA from 1 species
GACGAACGCUGGCGGCGUGCCUAAUACAUGCAAGUAGAACGCACAGUUUAUACCGUAGCUUGCUACACCAUAGACUGUGAGUUGCGAACGGGUGAGUAACGCGUAGGUAACCUGCCUGGUAGCGGGGGAUAACUAUUGGAAACGAUAGCUAAUACCGCAUAAUAUUAAUUAUUGCAUGAUAAUUAAUUGAAAGGUGCAAUUGCACCACUACCAGAUGGACCUGCGUUGUAUUAGCUAGUAGGUGAGGUAACGGCUCACCUAGGCGACGAUACAUAGCCGACCUGAGAGGGUGAUCGGCCACACUGGGACUGAGACACGGCCCAGACGCCUACGGGAGGCAGCAGUAGGGAAUCUUCGGCAAUAGACGAAAGUCUGACCGAGCAACGCCGCGUGAGUGAAGAAGGUUUUCGGAUCGUAAAGCUCUGUUGUAAGAGAAGAACAGGUGUGAGAGUGGAAAGUUCACACUGUGACGGUACCUUACCAGAAAGGGACGGCUAACUACGUG